rnacentral:lncRNA from 1 species
GCUAUCCGAAGUCUUUGAAUCACCUUUUAUGUCUAUGCUAUUCAUUGAGCAUAUUUACUUCUGUAUUCAUGCAUUAUAGGGUAUGGGCAUUGGCAUUAUGCAAGUGAUAUUGAACGUGUGAAUUCUUAUUGAUAGUAAGAACAUAUGAACAUAGAAUGUGGACAUAGAACCCUAUGAAUGCAUGGACUAUAACAAUAGUGAACUUGGUGACAUAUGACUAGAGAUUUGGUUAGCAUCGACAUUGGAAUUAUAAAACUAGCAUAAAGAGCUAGUUAGAGUAAAGUGUGACAGUGUUUGUCAGUUGAAUCCUCUAAAGGGGGAUCAGAUCAUACUCACAUUUGUUUGGUUCAAGUGAGGUCGCUCCUCCUUGAACGAUGAGCUCCGGAGUAGUCAUCUUUACUGGACCAGGAGGUGCGUCUCCCCCAGUUGACGGUCCCGUCGGGUGCAGGUUGCGUCUCCCCGAUAUUUGGGAUAGCGUCAGUGAGUUAUUGUUAACCAGAGGGUUAACCAAAAGAUUGGGUAAAGUUAAUGAAAAGCAUGCAUGCAUAUUUACAGUUUUCAUAUACUACUUCCUUCAGCUUUGUACAGGCAUUGUAGUAGUUACAUAUUAUAGUUGGUUACUAUCUGCUUUACUUUUCUUGCCUACAUAUGCCUGAGUAGACCUAGUGGGUGAGUCGGCGAGGUCGGCAGCCGAACCCACUGGGAACUUUCUUGUAGUUCUCACACCACUAACCAUACAGGUUCCAGUGCGAGCGUUGUGGCCGAGGAUCGAGGCAAGAGCCCAGCAUCCUAGCUAGCUGACACCAGAGUUAUAGUUGUUUAACAUUUUGAGUUCAUGUAUCAUCUAUUUUGAUGUACUGAGACAUGUAAAUGAAUGUAUAUAAAGCAUGUAAUAACUAAAUGUUUUAGUUAAGUAAAGUUUUAAAUUACAGUGGAUUUCAUGUUUAGUUAGACUUACUAUCACUUGUGUUGUUGCUUGUCUUCGUGCAAGCCAUGUAUAUUGAAAUGUAUCCUGGGAAUUGUUUAUUUCUUUAUACAUGUAUUCGUUGUUGUUGAGCCUUGGGCGAACAGAGGAGGUGCUGUUUGUUCGGCGUCUGUGUACGGGCCCGGAUUGAGCAAAUUGGCGAUAGCGGGACGUGACAACCCUCACCCGUAGGGAGAGGCAUGAAGGUUACCGGAGUGGCAAAGGAAAUGUCCAAGAGCGAUACGUUGCAUGUCGGCGAAUCGUCGAGGACGGUAAAGAAGAAUCGGUUUCGAGGACGCGGAUCUUUUGCCGGGAGAAUU